AUCCUUGCCUGGCAGGACAGAUGCCAUGAUCAAGAUUGUGGUUUCUUCAGGACAGGGCGAGGUUCAUCCGUUACACUCUGAAUGUGCUGACUCCUACAAUUUCCCCAAAUGUGGGAAACUCAACUGCAUAAUUUGUGGUAGUGGGGGACUAUGUUUGCACUCUCCCCUG